rnacentral:misc_RNA from 1 species
UCUCCGUUGGUGAACCAGCGGAGGGAUCAUUACCGCGUUAUGAACUCCCAAACCCCUCCGAACAUACCCCCCGUUACUUCGGCCGGACCUCCCCGGCGCCCUCGGCGUCCCGGAACCAGGCGCCCGCCGGAGGACCCAAACUCUUGGUUAGACCAAAGUUGCAUAUUCCGAUUCUCACAGGAAAAAUGAAUCAAAACUUUCAACAACGGAUCUCUUGGCUCUG